rnacentral:rRNA from 1 species
GAUGAACGCUGGCGGCGUGCCUAAUACAUGCAAGUCGAGCGAACAGAUGAGGAGCUUGCUCCUCUUACGUUAGCGGCGGACGGGUGAGUAACACGUGGAUAACCUACCUAUAAGACUGGGAUAACUUCGGGAAACCGGAGCUAAUACCGGAUAAUAUAUUGAACCGCAUGGUUCAAUAGUGAAAGCCGUUUUUGCUGUCACUUAUAGAUGGAUCCUCGCCGCAUUAGCUAGUUGGUAAGGUAACGGCUUACCAAGGCAACGAUGCGUAGCCGACCUGAGAGGGUGAUCGGCCACACUGGAACUGAGACACGGUCCAGACUCCUACGGGAGGCAGCAGUAGGGAAUCUUCCGCAAUGGGCGAAAGCCUGACGGAGCAACGCCGCGUGAGUGAUGAAGGUCUUCGGAUCGUAAAACUCUGUUAUUAGGGAAGAACAAAUGUGUAAGUAACUAUGCACGUCUUGACGGUACCUAAUCAGAAAGCCACGGCUAACUACGUG